rnacentral:rRNA from 1 species
GACGAACGCUGGCGGCGUGCCUAAUACAUGCAAGUAGAACGCUGAAGGAGGAGCUUGCUUCUCUGGAUGAGUUGCGAACGGGUGAGUAACGCGUAGGUAACCUGCCUGGUAGCGGGGGAUAACUAUUGGAAACGAUAGCUAAUACCGCAUAAUAGUAGAUGUUGCAUGACAUUUGCUUAAAAGGUGCAAUUGCAUCACUACCAGAUGGACCUGCGUUGUAUUAGCUAGUUGGUGGGGUAACGGCUCACCAAGGCGACGAUACAUAGCCGACCUGAGAGGGGGAUCGGCCACACUGGGACUGAGACACGGCCCAGACUCCUACGGGAGGCAGCAGUAGGGAAUCUUCGGCAAUGGACGGAAGUCUGACCGAGCAACGCCGCGGGAGGGAAGAAGGUUUUCGGAUCGUAAAGCUCUGUUGUAAGAGAAGAACGAGUGUGAGAGUGGAAAGUUCACACUGUGACGGUAUCUUACCAGAAAGGGACGGCUAACUACGUG